CCCAAACAAUGUGCAUUGCAAGUCCUCUCAAAAACACUGGAAAGCAUAAAUCUUAAAUUUUCGAGAAAUUUGAAACGUUUGCUUUGGAUUUGGAUUUCAAUAUCAUCUCGAAAAACGAUGCAUCAAAGCCAUUAAACUAACAAUGUUUCUUUUUCCUUCACAGGCUGGAUUCCAACCCCAGGUCUUCUAUGUUAUCAUAUGUCCCCAUUCAAAACCAAAGCAUGCAUGUGUAGCGUGUUCGUUUGAAUAGCAAGUGCCUUUAUUAGCGAGGGUCUCGGCUCUUAGCGUAAAUUCUGUCCGUGUCACAGCGAUUCAGGGCUGACUGCAUGCUGCUGCAGACCGAGGCGCGCCGUGAAACCCAAUCUCACGCCAUAAUUGGCAGCGAUGGAUCUUUAACAAGAGGGAGAGACGUCAAAAAUGAAAUUACUCUCUCUGGUUGUGGCUGUGCGUGAUGGUCCUGUUGAUUGUGAAUUUUUUAAAGGCUUCUUUCACACCUCAUUGGAUUUCAAUUAGCAGGUGAUAAGGGCCCUCAUUGUCGCCGCUAACCGGCUGCACUCCCUGACAUUUCACCAGCAGGGUGGAGAGAAUUCAUUUCCAUCCCUUGCUUUUCCUCCUUUCUUCAGCUCUAAAGCAGAGACAUGACCGGUGACGAGUGAGUACAGGAGCUCUGACAGCUCCAUCACCUCCGGUAAAACCGGCGGAUGCGCGGAUGGACGGCUGCCAUCUCAAACAAAGAGAGAGAAUUAUGAUGCUCCGCAUGAUAAAAUAAUAACACUGCGUGGCGUUUGAAGAGCUCCUCGAAAACACAAGCAGAAGUGGAAUUCCUAAUUAAAUGCAACUCAGUGAAGGGGAAAAAAACGAUGCGUUUACAAGCGCCGCUAACCAAAAAUCCAUCAACAGAUGCUUUUCCUCAGAAUAAAGAUGAAGCUUCAGAAAAGCGACGUGAUUGGGAGGGAAGCGUCGUCGAAUCUGACAGCAAGGAAGACCCAAUGAGCACCACUGCUUCUCAACCACCUGCUAGAGGCGGAUCCAUCCCGCUGGCACCCCGCCCACUCAGUCCCUGUAUUAGCAUACCUGUAACCUCAACGCCCACUGCUAAAGAAGCGCUUUUAGUGUGGAGUGCUCAAACCACACACAGAGAACUCUCCAGAAGAACCCAGAAAGAGCUGCAGCAGCAUCAAAUAUUUACACGCAGCAUUUUGGACGGGAGGUUUUAAGCUCAGAUACAGGCACAAAGCGGCCCAGAAGUGCAUCACACCCUUUUAUCUGUCACAUCCACAACUGGAUUUGAAAAAUCAAAUGCAAUCAGGUGGAUCCAACCAUGAGUGUGUAUGUGGUGGGAAAGGGUGAGUGAGUGUGUUUAUGUGAGUUUGUGUUUGGUUUUUAAACUAAGAAACAAAGUUGCAUGUUCGAUUAGAUGUCAGCACCUUCUGCUGAAAAAUAUAACAUGCUGUCAACAACUGCUGAUACUUCGGAAAAAUACCUUCUGACCAAUGAUAAAGCACUACAACUUAAUAUGUAUAGUUAGUGUAGAUUAGCUUUUACUGGAGACUAGAAACUAUUAAAUAAAACAAGAACAUGAAAGUAUGCAUUAGUGAUUUUAGGGCAGGGGUCACCAGACUCUGUCCUGGAGGCCUGGUGUUCUGCUGAGUUUAGCUCCAACUUGCCUCAACACACCUGCCUGGAAGUUCAUAGUAUACCUAGCAGGACCUAGAUUAGCUGGUUCAGGUGUGUUUGAUUAGGGUUGGAGGACCAAUUUUGGUGACCCCUGUUUUAGGGUCUAGUACUAUGUACUGCAUACUGGGCAAAAAAAAACAUUUGCAAACAGAAUGCACAAAAAAAGAGUGUUGUUUUUAGAACAGGUUUAGUGUGCUUUGUUUACACUCUUAAAAAUAAAACUUUAUUGACAUCAGCUUUUAACAGCCAUGGAAUGCC
ensembl:lncRNA